rnacentral:rRNA from 1 species
GUGGGGAAUUUUGGACAAUGGGCGCAAGCCUGAUCCAGCAAUGCCGCGUGCAGGAAGAAGGCCUUCGGGUUGUAAACUGCUUUUGUACGGAACGAAACGGUCCGGGUUAAUACCCUGGGCUAAUGACGGUACCGUAAGAAUAAGCACCGGCUAACUACGUGCCAGCAGCCGCGGUAAUACGUAGGGUGCAAGCGUUAAUCGGAAUUACUGGGCGUAAAGCGUGCGCAGGCGGUUUUGUAAGACAGGCGUGAAAUCCCCGGGCUCAACCUGGGAAUUGCGCUUGUGACUGCAAGGGUGGAGUGCGGCAGAGGGGGAUGGAAUUCCGCGUGUAGCAGUGAAAUGCGUAGAUAUGCGGAGGAACACCGAUGGCGAAGGCAAUCCCCUGGGCCUGCACUGACGCUCAUGCACGAAAGCGUGGGGAGCAAACAGGAUUAGAAACCCCGGUAGUCC